rnacentral:miRNA from 1 species
AGUGUAUGUGUGUGUGUGUGUGUGUGUGUGUGUAUAUAUAUACAUACACACACACACACACAUAUAUACACACA